GAUGCUAGAGCUUGCUCUGGUUGAUCAGUGGCGAACGGGUGAGUAACACGUGAGUAACCUGCCCUUGACUCUGGGAUAACUCCGGGAAACCGGGGCUAAUACCGGAUACGAGACGCGACCGCAUGGUCGGCGUCUGGAAAGUUUUUCGGUCAAGGAUGGACUCGCGGCCUAUCAGCUUGUUGGUGAGGUAAUGGCUCACCAAGGCGUCGACGGGUAGCCGGCCUGAGAGGGCGACCGGCCACACUGGGACUGAGACACGGCCCAGACUCCUACGGGAGGCAGCAGUGGGGAAUAUUGCACAAUGGGCGAAAGCCUGAUGCAGCGACGCCGCGUGAGGGAUGAAGGCCUUCGGGUUGUAAACCUCUUUCAGUAGGGAAGAAGCGAAAGUGACGGUACCUGCAGAAGAAGCGCCGGCUAACUACGUGCCAGCAGCCGCGGUAAUACGUAGGGCGCAAGCGUUGUCCGGAAUUAUUGGGCGUAAAGAGCUCGUAGGCGGUUUGUCGCGUCUGGUGUGAAAACUCAAGGCUCAACCUUGAGCUUGCAUCGGGUACGGGCAGACUAGAGUGUGGUAGGGGUGACUGGAAUUCCUGGUGUAGCGGUGGAAUGCGCAGAUAUCAGGAGGAACACCGAUGGCGAAGGCAGGUCACUGGGCCACUACUGACGCUGAGGAGCGAAAGCAUGGGGAGCGAACAGGAUUAGAUACCCUGGUAGUCCAUGCCGUAAACGUUGGGCACUAGGUGUGGGGCUCAUUCCACGAGUUCCGCGCCGCAGCUAACGCAUUAAGUGCCCCGCCUGGGGAGUACGGCGCAAGGCUAAAACUCAAAGGAAUUGACGGGGGCCCGCACAAGC
rnacentral:rRNA from 1 species